UUUUCUUGCUUGUGUCGGCAGUCGUGGCCAAAGGAGGAUUCAGACAAUUUUCCGAACUUUCUGGUUGGUUUCUACUGUCCGAUAUUGUAGCACGCUAACUUUGUUUGGGCUCCUGAACGACACGGGGGAGCAGCAUCUGCCUCACAACCAAUCAGGUUAGAGGAGGUGGAGAACGGCUUUGUUUACAGUCAGAAAGAGCGGACCUCUUAAAAAUGUUCAAAUGUUGAC